ACACGUAGGGGGCGUGCGUUGUUCGGAAUCAUUGGGCGUAAAGGGCGCGCAGGCGGCCGCGUAAGUCUGGUGUAAAAUGGUUGUGCUCAACACAAUCAUGCGCUGGAAACUGCGGGGCUUGAGUCAACGAGGGGAUGCCGGAAUUCCAGGUGUAGGGGUGAAAUCUGUAGAUAUCUGGAAGAACACCAGUGGCGAAGGCAGGCAUCUGGCGACUGACUGACGCUGAGGCGCGAAGGUGCGGGGAGCAAACAGGUUUAGAUACCCUGGUAGUCCGCGCAGUAAACGAUGUGCACCAGGUGGCGGGCAGCAGUGCUCGGUACCGAAGCAAACGCAUUAAGUGCACCGCCUGGGGAGUAUGCCCGCAAGGGUGAAACUCAAAUGAAUUGACGGGG
rnacentral:rRNA from 1 species